AGUGAACGCUGGCGGUAGGCCUAACACAUGCAAGUCGAACGGCAGCACAGUAAGAGCUUGCUCUUACGGGUGGCGAGUGGCGGACGGGUGAGGAAUACAUCGGAAUCUACUUUUUCGUGGGGGAUAACGUAGGGAAACUUACGCUAAUACCGCAUACGACCUACGGGUGAAAGCAGGGGAUCUUCGGACCUUGCGCGAUUGAAUGAGCCGAUGUCGGAUUAGCUAGUUGGCGGGGUAAAGGCCCACCAAGGCGACGAUCCGUAGCUGGUCUGAGAGGAUGAUCAGCCACACUGGAACUGAGACACGGUCCAGACUCCUACGGGCGGCAGAAGUGGGGAAUAUUGGACAAUAGGCGCAAGCCUGAUCCAGCAAUACCGCGUGGGUGAAGAAGGCCUUCGGGUUGUAAAGCCCUUUUGUUGGGAAAGAAAAGCAGCAGGUUAAUACCACGCUGUUCUGACGGUACCCAAAGAAUAAGCACCGGCUAACUUCGUG
rnacentral:rRNA from 1 species